AUUGAACGCUGGCGGCAGGCCUAACACAUGCAAGUCGGACGAGUGGCGGACGGGUGAGUAAUGUCUGGGAAACUGCCUGAUGGAGGGGGAUAACUACUGGAAACGGUAGCUAAUACCGCAUACCAUCGGAUGAGCCCAGAUGGGAUUAGCUAGUAGGUGAGGUAAAUGCUCACCUAGGCGACGAUCCCUAUCUGGUCUGAGAGGAUGAUCAGCCAAACUGGAACUGGGACACGGUCCAGACUCCUACGGGAGGCAGCAGUGGGGAAUAUUGCACAAUGGGCGCAAGCCUGAUGCAGCCAUGCCGCGUGGAUGAAGAAGGCCUUCGGGUUGUAAAGUACUUUCAGUAGGGAGGCGUUACCCACAGAAGAAGCACCGGCUAACUCCGUGCCAGCAGCCGCGGUAAUAC
rnacentral:rRNA from 1 species